CAUUCUGUCUUCUCUUUAGU
rnacentral:miRNA from 1 species